AGAGCGAACGCCGGCGGCAGGCCUAAUACAUGCAAGUCGAACGCACCUUCGGGUGAGUGGCGGACGGGUGAGUAACACGUGGGAACGUGCCCUUUGGUUCGGAAUAAUCCGGGGAAACCUGGCCUAAUACCGGAUGUGCCCUUCGGGGGAAAGAUUUAUCGCCAUUGGAGCGGCCCGCGUCUGAUUAGCUAGUUGGUGGGGUAAAGGCCCACCAAGGCGACGAUCAGUAGCUGGUCUGAGAGGAUGAUCAGCCACACUGGGACUGAGACACGGCCCAGACUCCUACGGGAGGCAGCAGUAGGGAAUCUUGCGCAAUGGGCGAAAGCCUGACGCAGCCAUGCCGCGUGAAUGAUGAAGGUCUUAGGAUUGUAAAUUCUUUCAGCGGGAAGAUAAUGACUGUACCCGCAGAAGAGCUCCGGCUAACUUCGUGCCAGCAGCCGC
rnacentral:rRNA from 1 species